CAAACAUUUCGUAUUGUUAUGUGGAAUUUGUAAGAAACAAACCAAUCUUGCUUAUUUAGUUUACGAAUAUAGCCUUAGCAUUAUCUCAAAAUAAAAGAAAAUUCAAAAUAACUCUAUGAAUCACACACACACAAAUAAAUAAAUAAAUAAAUAAAUAAAUAAAUAAAGGUAUUGUCCAGUCAAUGAAUGAGUCAAUAAGUCAUUAAAUUUUUGCUCUACUUGAUUUCAUUAUAAAAAGUUCCUUUCCUUAGUCUCGCUCUAAGUACGUUUUAAAAGUCAUUUCCAGUCACCAGCCUCUAAAUUCUGCAGUAAUAAAUAAUAGCACGAAAAUGAGCAAGAAUGGAGGAGAAGUUUUUGGGCCAGCGGUAGGAAUCGAUCUCGGGACAACAUACUCUUGUGUAGCUGUUUGGGAACAUAAUAAAGUUGAAGUCAUUGUGAACGACCAAGGCAACCGUACAACACCAUCUUGUGUAGCCUUCAAUGAAAGCAAUCGCCUCAUUGGCGAGGCUGCUAAGAACCAGACAAAUCUUAAUCCUACUAAUACAAUCUAUGACCAGGCAACGUUGGGUAGAUAAUAAAAAUCAAAGUAAUAAAGGGCAGCAAGUUCGUGCUCCAAAAUUAAGAUUGGUUGACUAUAUUAUUUUGAAUCUGUUCAAAUUACUAGCUCUUCAUUUGCAAAUAGUAUGGUAAUUUGUUCUGGUUUUUGUUGAUGUAUCUGAGUAAUUGAUUAUGUUUCCCGUCCUAAGUUAGUGAUGGUGUGCCUAUUCUACAUUUGUUGAAUUUUAAAGGGUAAACAACGAAUUUUCGUUUUUGAGAAUUAAAUUUGAAGUUUUUGCUUUUGUGUUUAGUUGAAAAUUGAUUUGGGGUGGAUGAUUUGGUUCAUUCAUGGGGUAAGACUUUAGAGAUCCAAGUUUAUUACUUUUUUCUAAUUGCUAUAGCCAUUGUUCAAGCUCAUGUGCAUGCUUGACCUAAACGAACAAAAGAAUGUAAUCAAGCUAAUUAAUCCACUUUGAUUUCUCUUUUCUUGGACAGUAAGGAACUCUGAUUUAAUAUUAAUAGGUUGCAUAAUGACGCUAUAUUUAAUUAAUUAGAUGACAAAAUAGCAUGAUAAAUUGUGUUUUUACAGGAUUUAUUAAUUUGUUUAUUUUGGUUGAGUUUGAAUCAAUUUCCUUGGAUCCACACAACUAAACUUACUCCGUAAAUAUACUGAGUAUAUAGACUUUCUUGUAUAAAUCAGAUUUAAAUAACAGGGUUUAUACGCUGUACAUGUCUUUUGGUCUUGUCCCUUAGUUGUGGCC